UAUAUAAAUAAACUAAAGCUUUAACUUGCUGUUUCAGGGGGUCGCAGCCAAGUUGAUGCAGCACUCAGAUGACGACGAGACUAUUGCUCAGGAGCUGGCAGAGGCCGAGAGCAAGAUUGUCGAAUUAGGAAUCUUUCAGCUAACGUUGAUGAAAAAACUGCGAGAAGAGUUCAAAAACCAUCAGCAAUCUGU
rnacentral:lncRNA from 1 species